rnacentral:rRNA from 1 species
AACGAACGCUGGCGGCAUGCCUAACACAUGCAAGUCGAACGAGACCUUCGGGUCUAUUGGCGCAUGGUUUCGUAACGCGUGGGAACCUUCCCUUAUGUUCGGAAUAACUCCCCGAAAGGGGUGCUAAUACCGGAUAGUGUCUUCGGACCAAAGAUUUAUCGCCUUUGGAUGGGCCCGCGUUGGAUUCGCUAGUUGGUAGGGUAAAAGCCGACCAAGGCGAGGAUCCGUAGCUGGUCUGUGAGGAUGAGCAGCCACACUGGGACGGAGAAACGGCCCAGAAUCUUACGCGAGGGAGCAGUGGCUGAUAGAGCAACGUGGGCGAAAGGAUGAAGGAGCACGGACGGGUGAGUGCUGAAGGCAUUAGGGUAGUAAAGCUCUUUUACCCGGGAUGAUAAUGACAGUACCGGGAGAAUAAGCUCCGGCUAACUCCGUG